CGAUUGGCCAGCAGCGCGGACGAGCCAUCUAGCCUUUAUAUACAUAUCUAUGGAGCUGUCUGUCAAAGUGUGUUUGAUGGUGUAUGUGUGCAUGCGCUGGUGAAUGGACAUUCGACAAACAUCCUUGUGGUCCAUGUCGCUGUGGAAUACGACAAUGCUGAUGGACUGUGUGGCCAUGCAGCCUCCAGAGACUGUGCUUUUAAAAGCACCACGAACAUCGCUCUCUGUCAGACUCAGUGAUAAAUCAGUUCCUGUUACAGCUCAACGUUUCCAGUUCUCUAAGGUUUAUGGUCCAGACACAACGCAGAAGGAGAUGUUUGAUGGUACAGUGAAGAGCCUUGUCCAGCAUGUGCUUGAAGGACAGAAUUGUCUGGUGUUUACAUACGGUGUUACCAAUGCAGGGAAGACCUUCACCUUUUUAGGCAUCCUGCCUCGUUCCCUCAACAUGAUCUUUGGCAGUUUAGAGGGCCACAUUUUUAACCAGAUGUGCCUGAAACCUCAAAGGUGCAGAGAUUUUAUCAGGCUGACCAAAAAACAGGAAAAUGAAGAAGAAAUCACCAAGCGUAAUCUACUUAAGCUCUUCAAAGAGACGGAUGCUCAGAAGAACUCGUCUGGCCAAAGCUCAAAAUCUGAUCUUGAGGAUGGUUCUUCUUUGUGUGAUAUUAGCACUGGAGCGAAUGAGAAAAGUUUGGCUCUGGACAUUCACACUAAGUUUUCUGUUUGGGUUUCGUUUCAUGAAAUCUACAACGAGAACAUUCACGAUUUGCUGGAACAGCAACCGAACAACGCCUCACGUAGAAUAAACCUCCGUCUUUGUCAGGACGUCAAAGGCAACUCAUUUAUCAAAGAUCUGAAGUGGGUGCAGGUGAGCAGUGCUGAUGAAGCAUUUAAAGUGAUGAAACUAGGCAAGAGGAAUCAGAGUAUCUCCAGCACUAAACUCAACCUUCUCUCCAGCAGAAGUCACAGUAUUUUCUCAGUCCGGAUUCUGAAAGUUGAGGAUGUGGGAAUACCCAGAGUGGAGUCAGUCAGCGAGCUGGCACUGUGUGAUCUGGCCGGAUCCGAACGGUGUGCUAAAACCCAAAAUAUAGGUGAUCGUCUGAAAGAGGCAGGAAACAUCAACACCUCACUGCUUAGCCUGGGAAAAUGCAUCAAUGCACUUCGAAAUAGCCAACAGUCUAGACAGCACGUUCCGUUUCGAGAGAGUAAACUCACUCACUAUCUGCAGGGCUAUUUCACUGGCCGAGGUAAAGCCUGCAUGAUUGUAAACAUUAACCAAUGUGCAUCCAUGUAUGAUGAAACACUCAACGUACUCAAGUUUUCUGCUGUGGCACAGAAGGUGGUGGUCCUCGCCCCCAUUGCUGUACCAGUGGUGGUGAAGAGGAGUGCCAGAGAAGUUUCCUUCAUCAUCAAUAAUGUUGAUCGCCGGUGGGACCCCAGCCUUGAGGAUGUUCAGGAAGAUUCUGACACUGAGGAGGAGGAUGAAGAGGAAAGUGAAGUGGAGAACACUAUACUGGACACUGAAGAGGAGGGGAAAGAGACAGUCCUGCUUGAUAAAGAGAUUUAUGAGGCUUCCCUAACGUGAUUGGUGCCCCAUCAAGGCCCCACCUGGCCCAAAUGAAGGAGAUUUUGUGAACCGAAAGGGGUUUCACAGUGUAAAUGUGCAGGGGAUUUUGAUGGGAUCCUGCUUGGAGACAGGGGCUAUGCCUGCAGGCAGUAUUUUAUGACGCCCUUCCCUGACCCAAACCCUGGACCACAAACCCAUUACAAUGCAGCUCUAGCCAGGACAAGGGCACGGAUUGA